rnacentral:rRNA from 1 species
AUGGACGGAGAGUGGCUGCAGUACAAUAGUGGUGUGCACAAUAAGUUUGACCUCUUCAUGACAAGCAAACACAACCACCUUUUCCAGGACAACCAUAGUGAUGAGAUGGAUGGUCUGCUUGAAGCCACUACUGUCGUGGGCAACACUGAUGAUGCCAACAUUGUUGCUACAGACCACAACAACAACGAUGGAGAGACCCAUAAUGAGAAACUUCAGAAGGACCUUAGCGAGAGGCUUGGCAUGAGUGCCCAGCAGGUCAAGUUUUGGUUCCAAAACAAAAGCACCUUCAGUAAGGGCAAGAUGCAGCGGUGGGAGACCCAAAAUCGUUGGGUGGAAAAUGAGAGGCUAAAAACUGAACGUCAAGCCAUCAUGUUGGCUAUGCAAAACAAGACUUGCCUCAAAUGCAGAGGGGUGAUGGUACAAACUCAGGAUACCUCGGAGCGCCAACGCCUAUACACCGAGAAUAUGAGGCUCAAGGAAGAACUCCUACAUGCCACUGCCUAUCUUAAAGAAGGUCUUCGCCGAAAUGGCAUGUCCUAG